AUGCAAUUCAAAAUGCUUAGUAAUGCUUUCUUCCUCAAUCAAUCUAAUAGUACAGCACAUUACUUACAGAGGAUGCAAUUCAAAAUGCUUAGUAAUGCUUUCUUCCUCAAUCUAUCUAAUAGUACAGCACAUUACUUACAGAGGAUGCAAUUCAAAAUGCUUAGUAAUGCUUUCUUCCUCAAUAAAUCUAAUAGUACAGCACAUUACUUACAGAGGAUGCAAUUCAAAAUGCUUAGUAAUGCUUUCUUCCUCAAUCAAUCUAAUAGUACAGCACAUUACUUACAGAGGAUGCAAUUCAAAAUGCUUAGUAAUGCUUUCUUCCUCAAUAAAUCUAAUAGCACAGCACAUUACUUACAGAGGAUGCAAUUCAAAAUGCUUAGUAAUGCUUUCUUCCUCAAUCAAUCUAAUAGUACAGCACAUUACUUACAGAGGAUGCAAUUCAAAAUGCUUAGUAAUGCUUUCUUCCUCAAUCUAUCUAAUAGUACAGCACAUUACUUACAGAGGAUGCAAUUCAAAAUGCUUAGUAAUGCUUUCUUCCUCAAUCUAUCUAAUAGUACAGCACAUUACUUACAGAGGAUGCAAUUCAAAAUGCUUAGUAAUGCUUUCUUCCUCAAUCUAUCUAAUAGCACAGCACAUUACUUACAGAGGAUGCAAUUCAAAAUGCUUAGUAAUGCUUUCUUCCUCAAUCUAUCUAAUAGUACAGCACAUUACUUACAGAGGAUGCAAUUCAAAAUGCUUAGUAAUGCUUUCUUCCUCAAUAAAUCUAAUAGUACAGCACAUUACUUACAGAGGAUGCAAUUCAAAAUGCUUAGUAAUGCUUUCUUCCUCAAUAAAUCUAAUAGCACAGCACAUUACUUACAGAGGAUGCAAUUCAAAAUGCUUAGUAAUGCUUUCUUCCUCAAUCUAUCUAAUAGUACAGCACAUUACUUACAGAGGAUGCAAUUCAAAAUGCUUAGUAAUGCUUUCUUCCUCAAUCUAUCUAAUAGUACAGCACAUUACUUACAGAGGAUGCAAUUCAAAAUGCUUAGUAAUGCUUUCUUCCUCAAUCAAUCUAAUAGUACAGCACAUUACUUACAGAGGAUGCAAUUCAAAAUGCUUAGUAAUGCUUUCUUCCUCAAUCUAUCUAAUAGCACACAGCACAUUACUUACAGAGGAUGCAAUUCAAAAUGCUUAGUAAUGCUUUCUUCCUCAAUCAAUCUAAUAGUACAGCACAUUACUUACAGAGGAUGCAAUUCAAAAUGCUUAGUAAUGCUUUCUUCCUCAAUCUAUCUAAUAGUACAGCACAUUACUUACAGAGGAUGCAAUUCAAAAUGCUUAGUAAUGCUUUCUUCCUCAAUCUAUCUAAUAGUACAGCACAUUACUUACAGAGGAUGCAAUUCAAAAUGCUUAGUAAUGCUUUCUUCCUCAAUCAAUCUAAUAGUACAGCACAUUACUUACAGAGGAUGCAAUUCAAAAUGCUUAAACAAACACAGUUAUAAAAGGAGAGAAAGAGAAAAACACUGGUUUCAAAAUGUGGCAAAUAAAAAUAGUAAAACAACUGUGGACGCAUUUGAA
ensembl:lncRNA